GCCCCCUCGGGCCCGCGCCCCGCUCCUCGGGCCCGCGCCCUCAGCGCCCCGCACCGCAUUGCCAGGGCCCUGCCUGGGGCGCGGAGACCGGGGGCUGCGAGGAACCCCCGACAUCUCUCGCCUGAAACGCCUCGUCUGGUCUUUCAGCCCAAAUCCACAGUCCCAACGCCACGGGGCGCGCGACACGGCCCUGUGCCCCUGGCCGAGGAACAAGCCUUUUUAUACUAAACUGCAGUGGUCUCUUGGAUGGAGAGAAGCAGAGAAGAUACAUAGGAUGCCAUACAAAUGCAGGAGGGAAGGGAAAUUGUGCAGGAACGUCAAGCAAACCCUAAGACCUACAACACGCACAGCAGACUGUAAGCAUGAAACGCUGCAGUGCCUGAUGUCUCCAACAAGCUGGAAUGCUAAAUGUUUGCAACGAGACGUAAAGGUGCCCCACUCAUCCAGUUCCCAGCUCCCAGCAUCCCAAACUGUACAAGAAGAGCCUAGCCCAUGCUCCUGUACCAUGGAUACGGGAGAUGAUAAAGGUGCAAGGAAGCUGCAGCAAGGGUAUUAAAUGCAAGUGAGGCCUUU